rnacentral:ncRNA from 1 species
CCUUAUUAAGAGCGAGGGAGGGAAUGGGCCCUUAGAUCUCGCGGCAACCUCACAGGCAGUGAAGGUGCCAAAUCCCACGGGAGUUUAUCCACCGGCAGAUGAGG